rnacentral:rRNA from 1 species
UGGGGAAUAUUGCACAAUGGGCGAAAGCCUGAUGCAGCAAUGCCGCGUGUGUGAAGAAGGCCUUCGGGUUGUAAAGCACUUUUGUCCGGAAAGAAAUCCUUGGCUCUAAUACAGUCGGGGGAUGACGGUACCGGAAGAAUAAGCACCGGCUAACUACGUGCCAGCAGCCGCGGUAAUACGUAGGGUGCAAGCGUUAAUCGGAAUUACUGGGCGUAAAGCGUGCGCAGGCGGUUUGCUAAGACCGAUGUGAAAUCCCCGGGCUCAACCUGGGAACUGCAUUGGUGACUGGCAGGCUAGAGUAUGGCAGAGGGGGGUAGAAUUCCACGUGUAGCAGUGAAAUGCGUAGAGAUGUGGAGGAAUACCGAUGGCGAAGGCAGCCCCCUGGGCCAAUACUGACGCUCAUGCACGAAAGCGUGGGGAGCAAACAGGAUUAGAUACCCUGGUAGUCCACGCCCUAAACGAUGUCAACUAGUUGUUGGGGAUUCAUUUCCUUAGUAACGUAGCUAACGCGUGAAGUUGACCGCCUGGGGAGUACGGUCGCAAGAUUAAAAG